rnacentral:rRNA from 1 species
AAUAUUCCACAAUUCGCGAAAGCGUGAUCCAGCCAUUCUGCGGCGUGUGAAGGAGAGCCCUCGGGGGAUAAAGCACGUUCAGGUGUGAGGAAAGGGAUGUAGUUAAUAACUGCAUCCGUGACGUUGCAACAGAAGAAGCACAGGCUACCUCCGUGCCAGCAGCGGCAGCAAUAGGGAGGGUGCGAGCGUUAAUCGGAAUUUCGGGGCGUAAAGCGUGAGAGCGCGGAUAGUUAAGCGAGAUGUUAAAGCCCCGGGCUCAACUUGGGAACUGCAUUUCGAACUGGCAGUCUAGAGUUUUGUAGAGGGUGGUGGAAUUUCCAGUGUAGCGGUGAAAUGCGUAGAGAAAGAAAGGAACAUCAGUGGCGAAGGCGGCCACCUGGACAAAAACUGACGCUGAGGCACGAAAGCGUGGGGAGCAAACAGGAUUAGAUACCCUGGUAGUCCACGCCGUA